GGACACGGAGCUCGUGCGCUUCCUUCCCCACCUCGGGAGCGGCGGUGGGGGGUAAAGCCGGCCCGGGCCUGGGAGGAGCCAGCUGCUGCCCCGCAGAACCGGCGGGAUGCUCUAGGCAGCGGCAGCUUCCUGCCCCCAGUAGCUGGGCUAGAGCGAGCUUCCAGGGGCAGAUCUGCCCUAGUUCAAAAAGCAGGUAUUUAAGCAGGGCAGCGGCCAGUGCUGCGGGAGCUCCGUUGAAAUCAGUCCUGGCUGGCGUUGUGUGCUCUGCUUUUCUUCCUAAAGCUCACACGGAUUCAGCACUGCUAGAGGAGCUGUGGUCAAUGAAAAAGGUUCCCAUUCUCACCUCGGGGUCGGGGGUGCUAUGCUGGGUGUCAUCAGCCACGAGAUCAUGUUGUCUCACUGCUGGACUUGUUGGGGAUAUGGGAGGAGCAGUAUGUGGCCUGCAUCCUUUCUGGGUGGGCUGGACCCAGCAGCUAGCCAGGACCUCCUCUCUGCAGUGCCACAAAGGGCAGUUUCUUCUGCUCUUGGCCAUUGCCAUGUAGACAGAAAGUGCGCCCAGCAGGUGAUGUGGACUCCAGUCCCACAACACACGAGCGACAUGCAGCUCUGCCUUUCCUUUGUCACAUACAGUCACUCAACUCCACCAACAUGGCCUCGUGUGCUUGGAUGAGAUCAGCUUGUGAAUGAAGAGCACCUGGCUGAAGCCAGGACCAGUACCAGCUGUCUACAAAGAUGCCAGCCACUACACAGGAGUUGUGGGACAGUCUGCCUUCUGGGAAGAUCUUGCCAACAUUCCUUGUGUUGAAAGGCCCAGAUUCCAAUGUGUGGGAAGUCACCAUCCAGCGCAAGGUGGCAAAAGCCUGCAGCAAGGCAGCAGCCCUGGACUUCAAGAGGGCGGAUUUCAAUGAGCCUUCUUCCAUCUUCACAGCCGUUGGGGCUGCAGCCUUCCUCCGCCUGCUCCACAGUUGAGGUCUUCUUGGAUCAUUCUUUGUCUGGGACCUCCCCCUCACCAUGGGUGGCCCUACCAUGAGUACGAGCUCCAGACGGCGUUGCUCUCAUGGUCACUGGAAGACGCAAGCCUCUCCACCGUGACUGCUGCUGUAUCAGCAAGGGUAAUUACUGAUGUUUGUACACAUCACGCUCAAAACAAGCUAGCUCCCUACAAACAAAUAUGAGCAGAGCAUGUAAAUCAGGGGUUUGCAACAUUUUUGGGCAGAAUGCCAACCUUCAACCUUGAUUUGUAGAUGUUGGCAUGUCAGGGGCAGAUAGUGGGGGAGCUGUGAGGGGCCCAAUCCUUGUUGUGGCAGCACAACUUCGGCUUCUUCCCUACUGUCCACCCCAAGGCUCACAGACAAAGCAAAAUGCCUUUGCAUGCCACAUUCUGGCACUUGUGCGGGGGGUUGCCUGCUCCUGAUGUAAAUGCACAGAGGUGUGGGGCUCAGCAGGAAAGGGACAGAAACCCCCUCUGCAAGGGAAACAGUCCAAAGGUGGCAGAAUCCAAUGAUGCUUUUUGGCCCUCUUGUGGCCACAUGGUGUAAAGUACUGCAAAAAUUUCCUUCACUAGUUGUCUCAGAAAGUUUUCUGGGGUGUAUGCCUCCUGCACUGGCUGCACACACCUUGUAUCAACUUGUCUGACUGGUCUGGCCCUGGUCUGGCCUGGUUUCUCAGUGACUGAAAGAGGGAAACAGGUUUGAUGCCGUACCUUUUCAACAAAGAUCAUUGUCCUCUAAGUGAAGCUGGACUGCACAAAGCAUCAGGGUAGUGGAUUGGAACUGCUAACCAGGACCCUCUUUAACUUUGCUCUUGAGAGACAAGAGACACUUGAGGUAGUCAUAGGGCUAGUAGCAUGCAGGAGAGGCUGGAGUGGACACUUUUGUGGUCCUGCCUUUUUGAUUUCAUGCCCAAGACAUGGCUGCCUGCACUUGCAGGGGACUGGACUCCCCAGGUUGAGGCGCUCCCUUCUAGAACUAUGUUCCUAAGGAGAAAUUAGCUGCCCCGACAGCCUAGUAUUUUCCAACUUUGGGAAAGGUUAAUACUUCUUAACAGUCAUGUGAGCAGCAUGGGCCAAUGGAUGGAGCUUUGGGCUGGGAAUCAGGAUAUCCGGGUUCCAGUCCCUGCCUUGUCUGUACGUAGCUAAUUAUCAGCAGGCAAUUGCAUUGCAGCUUCUGCUUCACACCUGUUGAAUGGGGAUGUUCUUGACUUUCCCUGGUUGUAAAACAUCAUGCAAGAAUGAGGCGCUUGCUGUGAUAUUUGUGUGAUAGAGCAAAGAGAGCACAGCACCAGUAAUAAAUUGUGUGAUUGGAGGCCACUCGCAUGCCAAACUGCUGAUUAAAAUGUGAUUGUUUUCUGCACUUCAGAGUCACAGUGGUUACUACAGCUCUGAUUGCAUUAUAUCACGUAACGUAACAUUUUCCUACCAGCCAGUAGGAGUGGGGCAAUCCCUAGCUCAAUUACAAAUGGCAUUAAUGAACAUUAUUUAGUGGCAUGGCAAGUGAGGAGCCCAACUGUGUGCACAGCCUGCCCAUCCCAGACUUCAUUCCUGUCAUUCCACCCACACCCAACAUUUGCUUGUUCCACUCUGCUGCAUCUUGUCUUUAACUCACAAAGUUUAGCUCACUAGUGUCUUUUUACUAUCUCUGACCAUGCCUGUUUGAUCCUACCAUGAUGCCAUUAAUAAAUAGCAGGGAUGGCUGGCAAAUGUGGGGUGUGUGAUGCAGAGGACUUCAAAAGGAAGAUUUAAAAAAAAGGAUUUCCUGGCAAUUUCCCCUUGUGCUGUUUUAAUGAAACAAAGAUGUUCAGUUCAAACUAAAAUGAAAAACUCCCAGUUUUUUUGUUUUCUGUUUUUUCCCCCCUCAUGCAAAUCUUCACACUCAAAAAGGAGGAGAAGGGGGUGUAGAAAACAAAUCCAGGAACUGAAAAUGUUUCAUUUAGAUUUAAAAAAAAAGUCAAACAUGACAAUCAUGGUAAAUGUUUGUAUAGUUGGAGAUGGCCCUUCCAAACAAUAUUCUUGCCAAGAGGAUUUUGACUUAGUCACAGCAAACUGUGCCACUAGCCAGCAGAGAGCUGCACUGCUGUGAAAAUGAUUGGCAGUCCUGACACACAGCAUGUUCUGAGAUAUCAAAUGCAUUUGUGCCCUGCUUCCACUUGCAAGCUAAAGCAAGGGAAAGGCAAGAGCAAGCAGUAGAAGCUGAAUGUCAAGCAACUGGAUCCUGAGAUGGCAGGGAGGGGGAGGGAGAAGGGGGUAUGUUUGUGUGCACACAUGUGCAUGUGUGUGGGGGGAUAUAUAUAUUUUCACACACACACAAUUAGAAAGUGAAGACCACACAUUUCUGACCUCCUCUUCCACUCCCCAUAUGUGUUUAUAUGAUUCUGCAAACAAGUGCCCCUCCAAGUGUAUACUUAUUAGAAGGAAUUACAAUCCUCACAUGGCUGGACCUGGUAGGACCAUGGCUCAUCCUGGCAGCAUCCCUGGGAAACGUCUCUUCAGAAAUGCAAGAUAAAAAAGGGACCAAGUGUUGCAGGGGCUCCUGAUUACCUUUCCGAUACAGAGAAUUCACAGCUGUAAAUGAGGUGUUGUAUCACAUUAGGCUGUAACACACAAUCAGAUCACCAUCCUUCCAAUAAAAGCCUUGUCAGUCUAAUGCCUCUUUCCUUUAAUCCCCAAGAUUGCUGAAGGAUGCUGCUUUCAUCUGAUAGCAUUUAUGGAUGUUAUAAUGAGCUUUGGCUUGCUGAGAUAAAUUAAAUUGCUCACCCAGAGGUGCAAACUUCAUUAAUGCCAGCGGUGAGUCAGAUCAGCAUUAUUCUAGCUCAGAAUGCCAACAGGCUGGACAUGUUAAAGGAGACUUAUUUGGGAUUUUUUUCUAUCUCUGAACCUUCCUAAUUGCUGUUGAUUUGUAUCUUCUACUCUGUGUUCAAACUCUGCUGCUACUCCACAUCCUAAUCUUCCAAGGGAAUCCAUCAAAUAACACAUUGUUCCAUGCUGAAUGAUUUAACUGCUGAAACCACAUUUUCAGCUAGAUCACAUCAAUCCACUAUAUUGGCCUUGUGAGUUUCUAGCUCUUUUGCACAAUAUUUGACAAGACACCAAGGAGAUAUUUAAAGAUAGAUCUGCUGAGAAAUAAAAAUGUGUGUCUUCCUAUUUCUGUCCAAGUGCAGGAGAGGGAAAGUAUGAAGCCACAGACUGAGAUAAAUGGUGCAGUGAAAAGCCUGGACUCAGUAAUAAUGCAAACACCAGGAAAAUACUGAAAGGAAGGGAAUAAACCCAGCAAAGUACUCAGGCUGUGUGUACUCAUAAGCUUGUGCCCAGUGCGGCAGCCUUCUGUGGAGCUGCAGAAGUGAUUCAAGACAAGUAUAUGUUUAAGUGCUUUGCUGGAUCAGGUCCUUUCUUCAUAAAGCAACACAAGGAGAUUUCUCUGCUUCCCUCAUUUUUUACCUUGCUUACUUUGGUGUGGCUCCCAAUAGGCCCCAGAGAAAUCCCUCUGUGCAGAAAGGACUGAUUUCUCUGCAUCCCUCAUUUUUCACUUUGCAUCUUAAAUUAGG